AGUGAACGCUGGCGGUAGGCCUAACACAUGCAAGUCGAACGGCAGCACAGUAAGAGCUUGCUCUUACGGGUGGCGAGUGGCGGACGGGUGAGGAAUACAUCGGAAUCUACUUUUUCGUGGGGGAUAACGUAGGGAAACUUACGCUAAUACCGCAUACGACCUACGGGUGAAAGCAGGGGAUCUUCGGACCUUGCGCGAUUGAAUGAGCCGAUGUCGGAUUAGCUAGUUGGCGGGGUAAAGGCCCACCAAGGCGACGAUCCGUAGCUGGUCUGAGAGGAUGAUCAGCCACACUGGAACUGAGACACGGUCCAGACUCCUACGGGAGGCAGCAGUGGGGAAUAUUGGACAAUGGGCGGAAGCCUGAUCCAGCAAUACCGCGUGGGUGAAGAAGGCCUUCGGGUUGUAGAGCCCUUUUGUUGGGAAAGAAAAGCAGCAGGUUAAUACCCCGCUGUUCUGACGGUACCCAAAGAAUAAGCACCGGCUAACUUCGUG
rnacentral:rRNA from 1 species